UUCUCUUGUUUCCCUUUUUAACACGAAUAAAUGUUUUGCCUUUUAUUAAAGAUUUCCGUGGAAGAGAACACUACAGAGUAUUUUUCUACAAAAUCUAGGUAUGAUAUAGUGCCUUAAAAAU